ACUUCCUUAUUUUCUGUCUUUUUCCAUCUUUAUCCAUCUUUUUCCUUCUUCUUUCUUUCUUUCUUUCUUUCUUUCUUUCUUUCUUUCUUUCUUUCUUUCUUUCUUUCUUUCUUUCUUUCUUUCUUUCUUUCUUUCUUUCUUUCUUUCUUCCUUCCUUCCUUCCUUCCUUCCUUCCUUCCUUCCUUCCUUCUUUCUUUUUUCUUUUUUCUUUCUUUCUUCUUUCUUUCUCUCUUUCUCUCUCUCUUUCUCUCUUUCUUUCUCUCUCUCUCUCUUUCUUUCUUUCUUUCUUUCUUUCUUUCUUUCUCUCUCUCUUUCUUUCUUUCUCUAUCUUUCUUUCUUUUGCAAUAUAUGGAUAUUAUAACAACAUGUUUUACAUGAUUUCACAUAUAUAAUUGAUAUCUGUGACCA
rnacentral:lncRNA from 1 species